AUAAAUAGGGAGAUUGGGAACUACCAUUUCAAUACACACGGGGUCGUCUAUACUAGUUCUUGGUAAAGAAUUUUAUAGUUACUGUAUAGGUAUUAUCAACACCACUGUUCAAGAUGCUGAAACUGACCAUAUUCUCUACAAUAUGUCUGAUUCUACAAUCGAUAUGCGGUAUUAGCGCAUUGUCAGGUGGUGCAAUAGCUAGUGAGGCUGACAGCCACGUCGGAUCAACAAAAUGGAGUUACGCAUCUUCACAUGCCACAGGGUCAAACACCAAUAAAUGCAAUAUCUUCGUAGCUGACGUUCUGAAAAAUGCAGGUGGCGAUGUACCUCACAGGUGGUGGGGAUUUUCCGGACCCAUCGGUGCUGGCGAAUGGGGUAAUCCCAGCUCGUCAUACUUAUCCGGAGAUGACUGCUGGAGUAACGUGAACAUCCCAAGAAUCGGAGACGUGAUCGGGGAUGGUGUACACGUAGGUAUAAUAACCGGAUACCGAACGACAACAAGUGCUAGAUAUGACAUGGUAGUGAAAAACGACUGGGGUUACAGACCUAACCAGAGCUCUACUCGAUUUGCUUACUGGAGAUAUGUAUGUUAAAGACAUAAUCUCUCCUGUUACUUAAAGAUGCAUUAUGUAAGAGUUAAAUCUGCCAAUUGAAAAUCUUUAUUUUGACUAGUAAUUACACAUUCAUUUAUUCACAUGACCAACCCAUAAUCAACUCUCUAGUUCAUCGCAUAUCUAUGAUGAUGUGUGGAUUAGACAAUGUUUGUCAUAUCUUCGUUAAACGCUAAAUGGAAAAUCAAGACUAUGUUUAUUACCAUAACAAUGGUACUUGAUAAUCGAGAGACCCUUUAGGCUAUUUCUUGCCAAAACUUCAGAUACUAUAAUCAAGUAAUUUGACUGAAAUUUUCAAUAUAUUUAUUUAUCAUUUUAUCUAUUUUGGAACUAUUAUAACAAGAAUGGGUGUCUCUUUAUCUAAAUCUUACAUAAGUAUCUUUAAGCUAGCUGUAAUGUAAAUUCGUACAUGGACUUGAUUGUUUUUGCUUUAAUGAAAAUAAUAGGUAAUUAUAUAAAUAACUGUUUUAAAUUAACUGUUAUAGUCAAUAAUAUAAUUUUGUUUAUCAUUGUUAUUUAAUGUAGUUUCUAUUGGCUUACUGUAGUCUAUUAUAUCAAAUGUUUAUUACACUCCAAGAAAUGUAUAUAUGGUUGUAUCUCACUGACGAUAUACAUAUAUCCACGAUUGUUUAUUGUAAACGCAUGAUUUACUAUGUUAUGAUGUUUCCAGAUAACUUAUAUCGAUUUUUGUCUAUUGUUUAAUCCAAUUCAGUUUAUAGAAUAAAAUAUUGUAUAAAUUAAAGAUACAUUAUGGGAGAUUAGAUAACGAGUUGGCAGUUCUCACUAUAAUAGUUAAAAACUACAUAAUGUAAAGGCAACUUGAUGAAAAUUUCAUUCAAAUUGAUCUACUAUGAACCGAGAACUAAGCGGAUGAAAGUUCCGCUUAGCCUCGAUCAUCAUUACUGAAGUCGAUAAGACAAAACUAAUAGUCUUGAUUAUCCAUUUAAUCGUUAAUCACGAAGGAAAGUUUUGCAGCAAAUCGGACUGUAAUCCAACAAAUAUCGCAGGCAAGCCUUGACAUCGAGAGCUGAUUAUGGUCUGGAUAAGUUAAUUAAUGUCUAAUUAAUAAUUUAGAUAACAUUUCAGGCCUAAAGAAAGACCUACAAUAGGCCGAUUUUGCUCUUGCAUAAUGUAUGUUUAAGUGUUUUACAUGUUGAUUUAGAUGUUGAAUUAUCGUAUUUUUGUUAUGAUACAUAUGCAUUGUGUUAUUGUCAUGAUGAGAAAUAAGAAUUGUCUUAUGGUGAUUAUGAUAAUUACGAAUUGUCUAACUGUCAUGAUGAUAAACAUUGUGUUAUAGUCAUGAUGUUAAAUAUGAAUUGUCUUAUGGUUAUUAUAAAUAUGAAUUAUGUUAUUGUCAGGGCGAUAAAUAUUAAUUCUGUUAUUGUUAUGAAGCAAAAUGUUAUUAUUUACUGAUUAAAUUUUACAUGAUGUACAACUGAAA